UUUCGGUAUCCUGUGUUGCUUACCUAGCCAAAGGAAUUGGAUGGUUUCGUUUGUCCCUCUCCGCCCCAUGCCCUCACGGGUGGUGGGGUGGACGCAAGGCGAGCCUCGUGUUCCUGGCAUGCCUCGCCCGCGUGCGUGGUUGCCUCGGCCCAUGAGUUGCUCUGCCCGUGCUCUCGGAUGCAGAAUGUUACGCGCGGGUGCGGGGUCUCUCGGCCUUCGUUUGCCCAAGCAAUGCAUUUCGUCCCUCGACACGAACGACUGCCGCGCCCGUCUUGAGCGUCCAACGGCCGCACGGCUCGUCGGGCCUCAUGCGGGCGUCGGCGUCGCGAAGGAAUGCUACCUGGUUGAUCCUGCCAGUAGUCAUAUGCUUGUCUCA
rnacentral:misc_RNA from 1 species